rnacentral:rRNA from 1 species
GGUGAGUAACACGUGGGCAACCUGCCCUGCAGACUGGGAUAACUUCGGGAAACCGGAGCUAAUACCGGAUAACACCGAAAACCGCAUGGUUUUCGGUUGAAAGGCGGCUUUUAGCUGUCACUGCAGGAUGGGCCCGCGGCGCAUUAGCUAGUUGGUGAGGUAACGGCUCACCAAGGCGACGAUGCGUAGCCGACCUGAGAGGGUGACCGGCCACACUGGGACUGAGACACGGCCCAGACUCCUACGGGAGGCAGCAGUAGGGAAUCUUCCGCAAUGGACGAAAGUCUGACGGAGCAACGCCGCGUGAGCGAAGAAGGUCUUCGGAUCGUAAAGCUCUGUUGUCAGGGAAGAACAAGUACCGUUCGAACAGGGCGGUACCUUGACGGUACCUGACGAGGAAGCCACGGCUAACUACGUGCCAGCAGCCGCGGUAAUACGUANGUGGCAAGCGUUGUCCGGAUUUAUUGGGCGUAAAGCGAGCGCAGGCGGUUUCUUAAGUCUGAUGUGAAAGCCCCCGGCUCAACCGGGGAGGGUCAUUGGAAACUGGGAGACUUGAGUGCAGAAGAGGAGAGUGGAAUUCCAUGUGUAGCGGUGAAAUGCGUAGAUAUAUGGAGGAACACCAGUGGCGAANGCGGCUCUCUGGUCUGUAACUGACGCUGANGCUCGAAAGCGUGGGGAGCGAACAGGAUUANAUACCCUGGUAGUCCACGCC